rnacentral:rRNA from 1 species
GACGAACGCUGGCGGCGUGCCUAAUACAUGCAAGUAGAACGCACAGUUUAUACCGUAGCUUGCUACACCAUAGACUGUGAGUUGCGAACGGGUGAGUAACGCGUAGGUAACCUGCCUGGUAGCGGGGGAUAACUAUUGGAAACGAUAGCUAAUACCGCAUAAUAUUAAUUAUUGCAUGAUAAUUAAUUGAAAGGUGCAAUUGCACCACUACCAGGUGGACCUGCGUUGUAUUAGCUAGUAGGUGAGGUAACGGCCCACCUAGGCGACGAUACAUAGCCGACCUGAGAGGGUGAUCGGCCACACUGGGACUGAGACACGGCCCAGACUCCUACGGGAGGCAGCAGUAGGGAAUCUUCGGCAAUGGACGAAAGUCUGACCGAGCAACGCCGCGUGAGUGAAGAAGGUUUUCGGAUCGUAAAGCUCUGUUGUAAGAGAAGAACGGGUGUGAGAGUGGAAAGUUCACACUGUGACGGUAUCUUACCAGAAAGGGACGGCUAACUACGUG